AGCUUGCAUCUGCCUGUCUGCUUUCAGAUCAAGUCAUCUUUGCCAGCCAAAGCAGAUUCUUCCUGCCUGCUUCCAAGAGGCACGAGCCUAAACAACUGGUCUCAGAAUGGGGUGUCUCUACAGUCUUAGCCGUGAAGAGAGGAGAUGAAAUGUUCUCCUGUUCAGUGUGUACGGAAGAGGCUGGAGCAGAGCUGCUAUCUCUAUAACAGUAAAACUACAGUGAAAUCUGAAUUCUUUGUUCAUGUUUCAUUGCCUGCUUUGAGGAAAAACGGUGAUCAUGAGAUCAGACAUCAGCCUCAGGGAGAAAGUUCCCAUUGCCCUCUGCUAGUCCUGUCUGAAAGGGAGAGGAGCUACUGGGAUGGAAGAAUAAAAUGAUGUACAGAAG